rnacentral:rRNA from 1 species
AAAGAAACUAACAAGGAUUCCCCUAGUAACGGCGAGCGAAGCGGGAAGAGCUCAAAUUUGAAAUCUGGUAGACUCAGUCUAUCCGAGUUGUAAUCUAUAGAAGCAGUUUCCGUGCUGGCCCAUGUACAAGUCCCUUGGAACAGGGCGUCAUAGAGGGUGAGAAUCCCGUUCUUGACAUGGACUACCAGUGCUUUGUGAUCUGUUUUCAACGAGUCGAGUUGUUUGGGAAUGCAGCUCAAAAUGGGUGGUAAAUUCCAUCUAAAGCUAAAUAUUGGCGAGAGACCGAUAGCGAACAAGUACCGUGAGGGAAAGAUGAAAAGCACUUUGGAAAGAGAGUUAAACAGUAUGUGAAAUUGUUGAAAGGGAAACGAUUGAAGUCAGUCAUGUCUAUUGGACUCAGCCGGUUCUGCCGGUGUAUUUCCUUUAGAUGGGGUCAACAUCAGUUUUGACCGCUGGAUAAAGGUUUGAAGAAUGU